UGUGAAUGAAGACGCUGCUCCCAGGAGGCUUGGAGCCACUAACAGAGUGUGUUUGUACUUCAUCAUCGCCACCCUGGGCGCGUUGCUCGUCUUUGCCUUGGCCACCAUCAUGGUCCUGGUCGUCCAGAGGACGCUCUGUAAAUGGAAGGAGAACGCUCCUACUGCGAGGUGCCCAGCAGCCUGUGUCCCUCCUGGUUUGAUGUGUGUGUCCUGCUGGCCCUUUGGAGAGCAAUCCCGUGUUUGAGAGGGUUUGCUCUGGUCUGGUGCUCUGAAAUGGGUUGCAGCAGGGGACGUGCCACAGCUCUGUGUGCUACCCUGUGCUGCUGCCUGCUGAUGAGGUGAGGCAGAGUUCUCCUGGAGCACCCAGAGCAGGGCUGGGGGCCAAGGAACUCCCUCGUGGCCCCUGUCCCCUCAGUCCUGCCUUGGGUGUGAUUCCUAAUGCACAACCCGAGUUGUAGAAAGGAUAUCAGCCACACAAGGUCGCGCACAAACAACUUUUCCCUCUAACAACCGUCGCUUUAACUUCUUAAAAUAAAAGAUUGCUCUCAAAUGGAUCUGGUGUUGGUGGGGAAGCAGUGACAGCCAGAGCAGAGAUAGAUGGUUGUGAGGAUACAAAGUGAAUUUCUGACCUUGUAGAGGCGUUGCUAUCAACUUUACCAAGGUAAAAUGCCACGUUAGAAUUUUUAUAGGCUCUGAAAUCUUACUGCAAAAAUCAAAGUGCUGAGGUGCCCCCACUAUUGUUCAUAGAGGGAAAGCUCCAGUGCAGGCCUGCUGGAGGAACUGGCAGUGGAAAACAAAAUAUGAGCCUUGGACUCAGUAUUUUCUCCUGCUAAAUUUAUCCUGUGCAUUUUGUGUGCCUGUGUGUGCACGUUAUCCAGAAAUUAAACCAGGAAGGCUUGACUGAUACUCCUCCAAGAGAGGAAUCAUUUACCUGUAAUCAGUGUUCUCCCAAAAGAGAAGCACUUUGAGGACAGUUAACGUGAGACAUGGGGCUUUUAAAGUGAGAAAUAGUGGGAUAUCAGGGGAAAUCUUUAAAAUAACACUCUAGGUAAUUACAGACUUGCCACAGCUUUGCUGUAUAAUGAGGCUUUCAUUUGUACUGAUUAUGGAAGCAAGCAUUAAAUCACCUCUCCAUCAGGAUAAAGCAGUUACAGGAGUUGCCAGAGGGACAAGAUUGCUGAAAGAGCCGAGGUUUUGACUUAAAAGAGUAAUGACACCAUUGCAGCUGCUUUGAAAACGAGCUUGGCUGAAGGAGGAAAUACGAAGCUGAGGGCUGCGAGGAACAAAUGAAAUCAAGCAGCAAUUUUACGCUCUGAGGAGAAUUUGGCAGUAAAACGCAGAUUGUGUUUUGCUCUCGGGGAGUUCAGAAGCAGAGCAGUCACCCCCCAGCUGUGGCUGGUCCUGAACCCCCGGAGCAGAAGACGAGUGUUGGUUCUGUGGGACAGAACCAGGCUUGCUCCAAAGAGCCCUUGGCUGCAGUGUCGGAGUGAGGCUGGGCACAGAAUCUUUUGGGAACCAGCCGUGGUUGGGCUGAGCAUCUCCAGCCCUGACUGCCAGGACCUGGGGGGCCGGGGAGUCCCUGGAGCCCUGUGCACGCUGAGCUGCUGUAGGGAUGGAUCACAGCAUCACCAGAUGGAGUUAUUGUUUUCUCUGUAACUGUGACAAAAAACCCAACAUUUUGUGUGAUCGCCUCCUUGGGACCAUCAGCUUUUCCCUCCAGAUGUUUUCAGCUGGAUUGUGCGAGUGGUCCCUGAGUUCAGGGGCAACUUCCCACCCUCCUUAUGCUGAGCUGAGAGAGCAGCUCUUACUUCCCUCUGUUCCAAGGGGUGUUUGAGGGUCACAGGGACGAUGCAGGGGUUGCACCCUUGGGUGCCACGGCAUUAAGAGCCUUAUGGUGGCAAGACCACGCUGUCCCUGCCCCCAGCACCGGCUGCCUUUUGAUGAAUUCAUAAUUGCCUAAUUUAAGUUGAAGGAAGGCAGACUGGAAAAGGAAAAUCAAACUCUGCAGAAAGCGGGCGCUGGCAGCCCCCACAAUCUGGGCGCUCCAAAGAAGGGAAACAAAGAAGGGAAAAAGGCAACUAUGAUUCAAAGCUGCUUCUCUGAAUCCUGCAGCGCCUCUAACAGACAUUAUCACACCUCCCCACUUUCCAGCACCCCAAGAAAUUUCCUUUACGCCUUGUUUUCAAGAAGGGUGGCGCGGCACGUUACUGCCACAUCUGGGAAGCGUCAGUUUUAGAGCUAAACUCUGGUUUUUUGAACAAUUUGCGGUGCUGAAGUCAGUUCAUUUCUUCAGCUUUCAUCUGCAGAACCACUUGGCUUCAGGCCAUUGCUGAUCGUUCAGGAGUGACUCAGUUUUGCUCUGGAAUGAGAACGGUGUAAGGUGGUCUGGAGCCAUCAUUUUUCUUCUUGACUCUGUUUAGAAGUGUGUCAAACCCUCCACCCUCCUGCCUGCUGCAUUCACUGCUGGGUAUGUGUUAUAUAUACACCCCUGGAGAUGUUCGUGUGUAGAGAGAGAGAGAUGUGAAACCAGUGACAGAGAAUGGGGCAGGAAGGGCUGGAAAAUGGCAUUUUAAGGCACACAGACCCUCAUAAGGCUGGUGCUGUACAGGAAGGUUCAGGAGACACCUGGGCCUCCCAUUACAAACUCGGUGUGAAUGUCCAGAGUCCACGAUCUGGGUUAGUCCAUCACUGCUCUGGGUUUUGUAGACUUCACAUAUCAAACCUCUAAAUUGUGUGGGAAAGCCUUUUUAUCACCAGUGUGGUGAAUACUAAAGGUCAGAGCAGGUUUUGCUAUUUGCUGAUCUGCUCUUCAAGGCUGUUAAGAACCUUUAGCAGUAGGUUUGUGACUCACACAGCACCCAGCACAAUCCUGCACUGUUUAUUGGGGUUUUAUGUCUCCUAAAAACUCAUUUUGGCCCUGGGUGCCCCACUCAGGCAACCCCCCUCUUGUGGCAGCCCUGACAGACAGGAAAAUAAAAUUUUAAAAAUAAAAUUAAAAUCCUGAAAAUUCCUCUAAAAGCAGAUUUCCCACUCAUUGGGCACUACAGGAAUUCCACUGAGGCAUUUUAGGAGAAAACUGCCCUGGCCCAGCUCCUGCAGUGGGGUGUUCUGCACAGUGACAGUCACCUGCUGUCUGGAGGUGCCACUUUAACCGCUUUGGUCAGCACAGGAAAAACUGAUUUUCACCCAGGGCUGUUCCCUGUGAGGCUCGCUCUCAGUGCUCUGCUUUCUGCACUUUCUGUGUCCAGCUGUAACCUGUGCCUCUUGGCACCUCAGGAGGAAGGAGAAGACAUCUUCUUCCCCAGCCAGAGCUGGGUCAUGGAAUAAAUCCCAGAGUCAGCGAGGUUGGAAAAGACCUCUCAGACCAUCAAAUCCCACCUCGUCCCCAGCCCAGGGCACUGAGUGCCACCUCCAGCCCUUCCUGGGACACCUCCAGCGAUGGGAACUCCAAACCUCCCUGGGCAGCCCCUGCCAAGGCCUGGCCACCCUUUCCAUGGAGAAAUUCCUGCUGAAAUCAUGGAGGUUUGAGGCUGGGCAGAAACAUGGGAGGGCCUUGGGGCUUCUCUUUUAAAUUGAAGAUUUUCCUUGGAGUGCAGGGUGCCAAAGAGCUCUUCCCCACAGAGCUGCCAGAGAUGCUCUUGGAGAGCCCAGCCCCAUGGUGGGGACUGUGGCUUGGGGGAAUUUCCUUGGACUUUCCAGAGGUAGAUGAAGACUUGACAGAAUCCCGGACUGGCUUGGGUUGGAAGUGACCUUAGAACUCAUCCAGUGCCACCCCAGCCACGACAGGGACACCUCCCACUGUCCCAGGCUGCUCCAAGCCCCAGUGUCCAACCUGGCCUUGGGCACUGCCAGGGAUCCAGGGGCAGCCACAGCUGCUCUGGGCACCCUGUGCCAGGGCCUCAACACCCUCCCAGGGGUCAGAGGUGUCUGGUUCCAUGAAUAUUCACUGUUGUGACCCAGGAAUUUAGAAUGACCCUUUAUUCUGCCUCAGCUUGAGAAAAAUUUUGUAAAAUGAUUAAGGGAAAGAAGAAU